rnacentral:rRNA from 1 species
UGGGGGAUAUUGCACAAUGGGGGGGAACCCCGUGAUGCAGCGACGCCGCGUGGGUGAAGAAGCGCCUCGGCGCGUAAAGCCCUGUCAGCAGGGAAGAAAAUGACGGUACCUGAAGAAGAAGCCCCGGCUAACUACGUGCC